rnacentral:lncRNA from 1 species
UUUGAGAUACGUGGUCACAUGUUGAAAGGGUGAUGAUUUAGCACGAUUCUGGGAUUUCUCUUCCAGCAGCGUUUGGUUUCUUGGGUGUGGACACAGAGGAGGUGGGUGAUUGUCUUCAAUGGUGGAUGGGCUCUGAUGGCGGAGUGAGAGAUGCAGCGAGAGAUGGGCAGAAGAGGUGUUUGUAAAGAGGCCACAAGAGCAGGGGACACAUGGAAACUAAGCUGCAUAAGGAGGGAAGUGAGAACUUGAGAAAAGUGAAAACUUGAGAUCAAGAAAAAAAUGGUGGAAUUUGUGGAUUUAAUGGAAUUAAUAAAAUUGUGGGCUGGAGUUCUGAAGGAAGUGUGCUGGAAGAUGGUGGUCAGGGAAGCAUAUCUUUGUAUAUAAAUUUGAACUCUUUUUUUAUGAUUUAUUUUGCAAAUUGAAGAUGGGUACUUGUGAGCCUAAAGACACAGGUCUCCAGUCCUGUUGAGGUACAACCAGCAAUGCUCCUUCCUUCUCUUGGUUUUAUCGUCUUUACAUACUUCUGGUGCAUCAGUGGAUACAUUAGUAUAGCUCAUUGCAAAUCAAAGUCAGAUCACGUGUCAUCUUCACCAAAUCUGGCAAUGGUACUUGCUGCCACGUAUGUGCAUUCUUAAAAGGUUUAUUUUUGUUGGAUUAAGUGGAGAACCAGUGAUUUUCUCCAUGCUCUCCUUACGAUUCCCUGGUCUAUACCACGUUAGUGAAGGCUGUGUCUUAGUUGUUGAUAACCCAAGCCCAGUGAGUCCCAGUAGGCAGAGAUGGACUCAUUGUAGAUAAUGAGUGUUGGCACCUCAUCAGGGCAGAGAGAGCCUGUGAUCUAAACAACAGCUCUGAUAGGAAGGGCGGGAGGGCAUGUAGAUUGUUCCCACUGUACAGAUGAGGUCACAGUCCUGGAGAGGUUAAUUCCUGCCCCUCCUGCUGUCUUCCCCACCUUAGAAAAAGUACCACUAUUUACUUAGUUGCCCAAGAAGACUGAAACCUCGAAGUCACUCUUGGUCCCCCUGCCCCCCCACCCCCCAUCCCUCAUCUAUGUCAUCUUUUCCACAAAUCAGUCCUGAGUGAAUAAAUGAGGGAAGGAAGGCAUGAGUUAUACAGCUUCAGUUCAGCUCUCGUUGAGCACCCACCUAGGGCUCCUGGGGUGGAGAAAACAUCCCCGUCUCACUUCUUUCCAUCCCGGCUUCCAAAUGAGAGACUACUUCACUUUAAGAAUUAUACAGGGCUAAAUAAAUGUUUCAGGAUGAGCUUGUACAUUUACAUCGCAAAAUGCUUAUAAACUUUAAAAUACGGUAAUUACACUUGUUUAUGAAUUCCAAGUUAUUAAAAGAGCAUGAAUUCGCAGGCAGCACAGAAUUCACUCUACGAGUAUCUUUGGGGUGAUUAUCGAUACGUCUAUUGAUACUCCUUACUUGAAAUACCACAUACACAUCUUAAAUUUUAAUUAUUAUAAAAAAAUACACCAAAAUGGUAUUGAUAUAAAUACACAUGAUUAACCAGUACAGGAUUAAGCAAAUAACUUGCAGCAAACUAAGUUGAUAAUUACGGACUAAUUAUAAAAUUGUAAUUUAAGUAGCGGCAACUGAAAAUCAUGAUUAACUCAAGACAGUAUAGAACGAACACACACACAUACACACACACACACACACACAGAUGUCCUUUCAUAAAAUUGUUGAGUUGGAAGGAAGAGUAUGGAUCACAGGCUCUGUAUGUCUGUGUAUUCUGAAUUUUCCAAAAGUGGACACUGUGAUAUUUCUGUGACUGCCUUGACGGAGCACUGAACUAGAAUCCUUGGCAAGCUUCAAUAAUGCACUGAUUUUAGUUUAUGAGUGCCCUUGUGUCAAUCAUAAAAAAUUCUCUUCAGAGGUUAGUAUCUAGAAAAUAGGCUCCACAUAUACAUGAAAAUGAAUGUCUGAGGAACUGAAGGCUAUUUUCCAGGAAAAACUACAGAAAGGAUUUAUCAUUUUUGCAUUUGCUUAUAGUCCCUUGGAAGAAUCCUAUGGGCCACCAGUAGGCUGUGGACAAUUGAUUGUGAAGCAGCAGUCAGUAUUGAUAACUCUCAAAUCAAGACCCCUACCUUUGGCUUCUAUCAUCAGAUAUCCAUUCAUGCAAUCUCUACAAUCACUCCUUUCCCACACUUUCCACCAUACUCAUUUUUUUUUAAGAGAAGGCACUUCAAGAGGUCAUUUAUUUCUAGCUGCUUGAGUAAGAGUAAUAAAAAGUUUAUAUACACCUUAGAGUUUUCCUUUAUUUCAUAGUUCACAGACCCAGAUUUUUUUCUUUGUUUUAGUUAAGUCACUGAUUAUAGAAUUAUGUUUUAGAGGGGCUUUACUUUUCAUACAAACUCAGCAUCAAAAAAUUUAGUUGACUAUUGCUAUCUUGUUGUGCAAACAGUGCAACCCAUGAGGACCUAAUCUCCAAAAAUAUAUAAACAGCUCCUACAACUCAACAACCAAAAAAACAAACAACCCAAUCAAAAAAAUGGGCAGAAAGAGUUCCCGUGGUGGAGCAGCGGAAAUGAAUCCGACUAGGAACCAUGAGGUUGCGGGUUCAAUCCCUGGCCUUGCUCAGUGGGGAAAGGAUACUGCGUUGCUGUGAGCUGUGGUGUAGGUUGCAGACGCAGCUCAGAUCCCGCAUUGCUGUGGCUCUGGGGUAGGCCGGUGGCUACAGCUCCGAUUCAACCCCUAGCCUAGGAACCUCCAUAUGCUGUGGGUGCAGCCCUAAAAAGACAAAAGACAAAAAAAAAAAAAAAAAA